UCGACAAAUAAGGCUUUAAUAUCUGGAGCUCAUAGGUGGGAGAUAAGUAUACAUACUUACAAGAUAUUUAUUGUAUAGUAAAACUAUGGAUCCAAAGAAACAAAUCAAUAAGUCAAAUCAAGAGGUGCAUGUGUGGCGAAUGAAUGGUGUAUGGUGAUGAUGGUGAUAACAAUGGUGAAAGUCUAAUUCUACUUUUGCUCUUUUGAGGGGAUACAUACCUUUCUUGCUCUUUUGAGACUUCGUGAGGAGAAUGAGAUGCUCUAUAUUUUCUUUUUCUUUUCUCUCAGGUGGGUAUCUUGUAACCCUAAUUCUACUGUCGGACACUUGUCCAUUUUUACCUCUCGUCUCACUUUUUUUUUCUUUCGAGGUUCCGGGCACUUGCCACUUUUUUAUUUCCACGUAUCUCUUUUUUUAGAGCACUCAUCUCCUAAAAUAAUAUAGCAAGUGGUAGUAACCAAGAUAAGUUGAGCAUUUAUUUCACAGGGGAAAACAGAAAUGUUUUUGGCCAUUCUCUCCCGGAUUAGGAGUAGAAUGUUUUUGGGUCGUUCUGGAGAUGGAAAUGAGUGGAUAUAUGUAGAUGCGUACUUCCGGAGUAGAAGCAGCAUGUGUGAGUGUACGUGCAAGUGAAUCUUGAUUUAACCACAUGAUAAGCUCCUAAGGGUCUACCUAGCUUGACCACACUCAAUGCUCAUAAGCAGUAAAUGUGUGGCUCAAAGUUUAGCAAGCAUGUAUAUAUGGCUGUGGUAGAAAUUUAAACUCUCAUCAUACAGGAACUCAUCAUGUAUUAUUUUAAAUAUUUUCAAAGAUAAAAUUCUCCAGAAUUCUAGCAUCUCUAGGAAUAGAUAAACAGCAGCUCAACCUUCUCAUAUCAUACCCGUUAACAACUUAGACUUCAGAUCAAGUUCUCUUCCCACAAGUUCAGGUUUACAGCAAGCUUUAAAUUAUAAUAGUUAUGUCUAAACUUGAGAGAGAACUUCAAAUUUGAAAAUUAGGC
rnacentral:lncRNA from 1 species